rnacentral:rRNA from 1 species
UACGGGGGGAGCAAGCGUUGUUCGGAUUUACUGGACGUAAAGGGCGCGUAGGCGGUCAGCACAAGUCAGUUGUGAAAUCUCCGGGCUUAACUCGGAAAGGUCAACUGAUACUGUGCGACUAGAGUGCAGAAGGGGCAACUGGAAUUCUCGGUGUAGCGGUGAAAUGCGUAGAUAUCGAGAGGAACACCUGCGGCGAAGGCGGGUUGCUGGGCUGACACUGACGCUGAUGCGCGAAAGCCAGGGGAGCGAACGGG